rnacentral:rRNA from 1 species
CACGUAGGGCGCAAGCGUUGUCCGGAAUUAUUGGGCGUAAAGAGCUCGUAGGCGGUCUGUUGCGUCCGCUGUGAAAACUCGGGGCUUAACCCCGAGCCUGCAGUGGAUACGGGCAGACUAGAGGUAGGUAGGGGAGAAUGGAAUUCCCGGUGUAGCGGUGAAAUGCGCAGAUAUCGGGAGGAACACCAGUGGCGAAGGCGGUGCUCUGGGCCGGUACUGACGCUGAGGAGCGAAAGCGUGGGUAGCAAACAGG